rnacentral:lncRNA from 1 species
UUCAUGCACUCAAACAUCAUAUGGACAAAAACACGAACAUAAGUAAGAUUUCUAUCGUACUAACUUUACAACAAGUACUUCCAUGUAAUGUUCUAUAGAUAUUUUGUUCGUACUAACAUUUAAUACAUACAAAACACUACGAAUGAAAUCUUCCUGUUUUUCUUGCAGAUAUUAUUGGCGUUGCUAUAGAGGUUCGCCAAAAAAGGAUCAUCCAGACUCAUUUUGGUACCCAAGCCGGUCUUCAAGAUGUUAUAUUGAUAGACAAAAACUUGCAGACAAUGAUGUUAACUCUAUGGGACACUUUUGUUGAACGGGAGUGCACUGCCGUUGUUCAAAACCUACCAAUAAAACCUGUGAUUUGGGCCAUAAAUCUUAAAGCAUCUUCUUUCAAUGGUA